rnacentral:SRP_RNA from 1 species
CCAUACCAGCCGGGGAACUAGCGGUGCCCUGUACCUGAGAUCCGCUAUAGCAGGGGUGGAUUCCUUUUACGAGGGCUGUCAUUGUGCGGCCUGCGGCACGUUUUAUCGUGUUGACGGAUGGGUCCCGCGCAAUCGGAGGCUGUGAACCAUGUCAGGUGGGGAACCAAGCAGCAUUAAGCAGUUCAGCCGGUGUGCCGCGGGUUUGCCUGUCCUGAGCGAUAGACGCGCUUUACGCGCAUAGUGGCAUGCUCGACUUUAAGGUGUAUGG